AGGCGAACGGCUGAGUAACACGUGGGCAACCUGCCCUUUGCACUGGGAUAGCCUCGGGAAACCGAGGUUAAUACCGGAUACUCCAUAUUUGUCGCAUGGCGAAUAUGGGAAAGCUCCGGCGGCAAAGGAUGGGCCCGCGGCCUGUUAGCUAGUUGGUGGGGUAGUGGCCUACCAAGGCAAUGAUGGGUAGCCGGGUUGAGAGACCGACCGGCCAGAUUGGGACUGAGACACGGCCCAGACUCCUAUGGGAGGCAGCAGUC
rnacentral:rRNA from 1 species